CCUACGGGCGGCUGCAGUGGGGAAUAUUGGACAAUGGGGGCAACCCUGAUCCAGCGAUGCCGCGUGUGUGAAGAAGGCCCUCGGGUUGUAAAGCACUUUCAGUGAGGAAGAACGCCUGGUGGUUAAUACCCAUCAGGAAAGACAUCACUCACAGAAGAAGCACCGGCUAACUCCGUGCCAGCAGCCGCGGUAAUACGGAGGGUGCGAGCGUUAAUCGGAAUUACUGGGCGUAAAGCGCGCGUAGGUGGCUUGAUAAGCCGGUUGUGAAAGCCCCGGGCUCAACCUGGGAACGGCAUCCGGAACUGUCAAGCUAGAGUGCAGGAGAGGAAGGUAGAAUUCCCGGUGUAGCGGUGAAAUGCGUAGAGAUCGGGAGGAAUACCAGUGGCGAAGGCGGCCUUCUGGACUGACACUGACACUGAGGUGCGAAAGCGUGGGUAGCAAACAGGAUUAGAUACCCCUGUAGUC
rnacentral:rRNA from 1 species